rnacentral:rRNA from 1 species
AGACCCGAAACCCGGUGAUCUAGCCAUGGGCAGGUUGAAGGUUGGGUAACACUAACUGGAGGACCGAACCGACUAAUGUUGAAAAAUUAGCGGAUGACCUGUGGCUGGGGGUGAAAGGCCAAUCAAACCGGGAGAUAGCUGGUUCUCCCCGAAAGCUAUUUAGGUAGCGCCUCGUGAAUUCAUCUCCGGGGGUAGAGCACUGUUUCGGCUAGGGGGCCAUCCCGGCUUACCAACCCGAUGCAAACUGCGAAUACCGGAGAAUGUUAUCACGGGAGACACACGGCGGGUGCUAACGUCCGUCGUGAAGAGGGAAACAACCCAGACCGCCAGCUAAGGUCCCAAAGUCAUGGUUAAGUGGGAAACGAUGUGGGAAGGCCCAGACAGCCAGGAUGUUGGCUUAGAAGCAGCCAUCAUUUAAAGAAAGCGUAAUAGCUCACUGGUCGAGUCGGCCUGCGCGGAAGAUGUAACGGGGCUAAACCAUGCACCGAAGCUGCGGCAGCGAACGUAUCACUUAAAGCGAUUCAGCGGGUUACGAUUGACGGAGCGAAGCGACGUCAAAGCGUAUACAAAGUCGAGUCGGUUUAAGGAUACGUUCGUUGGGUAGGGGAGCGUUCUGUAAGCCUGUGAAGGUGGCCUGUGAGGGUUGCUGGAGGUAUCAGAAGUGCGAAUGCUGACAUAAGUAACGAUAAAGCGGGUGAAAAGCCCGCUCGCCGGAAGACCAAGGGUUCCUGUCCAACGUUAAUCGGGGCAGGGUGAGUCGACCCCUAAGGCGAGGCCGAAAGGCGUAGUCGAUGGGAAACGGGUUAAUAUUCCCGUACUUGGUGUUACUGCGAAGGGGGGACGGAGAAGGCUAUGUUGGCCGGGCGACGGUUGUCCCGGUUUAAGCGUGUAGGUGUGUGUUCCAGGUAAAUCCGGUUCACUUUAACACUGAGGCGUGAUGACGAGGCACUACGGUGCUGAAGUAACAAAUGCCCUGCUUCCAGGAAAAGCCUCUAAGCAUCAGGUAACAUCAAAUCGUACCCCAAACCGACACAGGUGGUCAGGUAGAGAAUACCAAGGCGCUUGAGAGAACUCGGGUGAAGGAACUAGGCAAAAUGGUGCCGUAACUUCGGGAGAAGGCACGCUGACACGUAGGUGAAGUGAUUUACUCACG